UGGCUCAAUGGUUAGAGCGGUGGACUUCUAAGCAACGUGUCGCGAGUUCGAGUCUCGU
rnacentral:tRNA from 1 species